GACGAACGCUGGCGGCGUGCCUAAUACAUGCAAGUAGAACGCUGAAGGAGGAGCUUGCUUCUCUGGAUGAGUUGCGAACGGGUGAGUAACGCGUAGGUAACCUGCCUGGUAGCGGGGGAUAACUAUUGGAAACGAUAGCUAAUACCGCAUAAUAUUGACUAUUGCAUGGUAGUCAGUUGAAAGGUGCAACUGCACCACUACCAGAUGGACCUGCGUUGUAUUAGCUAGUUGGUGGGGCAACGGCUCACCAAGGCGACGAUACAUAGCCGACCUGAGAGGGUGAUCGGCCACACUGGGACUGAGACACGGCCCAGACUCCUACGGGAGGCAGCAGUAGGGAAUCUUCGGCAAUGGACGGAAGUCUGACCGAGCAACGCCGCGUGAGUGAAGAAGGUUUUCGGAUCGUAAAGCUCUGUUGUAAGAGAAGAACGAGUGUGAGAGUGGAAAGCUCACACUGUGACGGUAUCUUACCAGAAAGGGACGGCUAACUACGUG
rnacentral:rRNA from 1 species